GUAGAUAUAGUUUAAUAAAAAUAUUAGAUUGUGAUUCUAAAGACAGGAGUUAAAUUCUCCUUAUCCACC
rnacentral:tRNA from 1 species